GACGAACGCUGGCGGCGUGCUUAACACAUGCAAGUCGAACGGAAAGGCCCUGCUUUUGUGGGGUGCUCGAGUGGCGAACGGGUGAGUAACACGUGAGUAACCUGCCCUUGACUUUGGGAUAACUUCAGGAAACUGGGGCUAAUACCGGAUAGGAGCUCCUGCUGCAUGGUGGGGGUUGGAAAGUUUCGGCGGCUGGGGAUGGACUCGCGGCUUAUCAGCUUGUUGGUGGGGUAGUGGCUUACCAAGGCUUUGACGGAUAGCCGGCCUGGGAGGGUGACCGGCCACAUGAGGACUGAGAUACGGCCCAGACUCCUACGGGAGGCAGCAGUGGGGAAUAUUGCGCAAUGGGCGGAAGCCUGAUGCAGCAACGCCGCGUGCGGGAUGACGGCCUUCGGGUGGUAAACCGAUUUCGCCUGUGACGAAGCGUGAGUGACGGUAAUGGGUAAAGAAGCACCGGCUAACUACGUG
rnacentral:rRNA from 1 species